UACAGAGGUCCCGAGCGUUGUUCGGAUUUAUUGGGCGUAAAGGGUGCGUAGGUGGCAAAGUAAGUUGGAUGUGAAAUCCUGGGGCUUAACCUCAGAAUUGCAUUCAAUACUGCUUAGCUAGAGAGCUGUAGAGGGGACUGGAAUUUACGGUGUAGCAGUGAAAUGCGUAGAUAUCGUAAGGAACGCCAGUGGCGAAAGCGAGUCUCUGGGCAGCAUCUGACACUGAGGCACGAAGGCCAGGGGAGCAAACAGG
rnacentral:rRNA from 1 species